UUUAUUUUGUUAUCCUCACUUACAUAAAUGAACUUUUCAAAACAUGAAUAUAUAUAUAUAUAGCAUAAAGAAAUCGUCUGAAAAUUACAUCUUUGUUUAGCUCUGCCUCCUCCAGAAGAACAUUAAUUGAAUCUUUUUGAAAGGUAUCUUCAUUUAUUUAUCUAUUCUAAUCCACAUAAGGUGACGAUUAUUAGGUUAAAAGUUAAAGGAUAAGAUUCUAUAAGGUGAUAUUCAGCACUUGAGAAACGGACAGCGACCCUUUCUCGCGCGUUCAUGUUAAGGGCAUUUUUGGGAAACGCACAUGGAAUUGCAGCAAGCGUUCAUAACCUCGCACGUAGAAAGCGCUCUCAAGAGCUAGGUUACAUCGUUAUUGGGAAACCCAGCCCUGGACUGAACCAUGCUUCCUUGUGUUUAAAGAAAAAGAAAACAGUAUUUGAAAAUGCAAUACUUGCCCUAUUUACAUGAGUACAUGAAUGUGAAUAAAGCAGUGUUUUCCAUCCCUGUUCCUGGUGGCACAUUAGCUUGACACAUUUCUGAACUCUUCCUAAUCAAACACACCUGAGUCAACUCAUCAGCUUGUUAAUAGAGACUUCAAGACCAGAAAUACAUGGUUCAGAUAAGGCAGGGCUUCUCAAACCUGUCCUGGAAACCCCACCACUGCACAUUUUGUAUGCUUCCCUCAUCAGACACACCCAAUUCAAAUGUGCAGUGGUGGGAGGUCCUUCAGGACAUGACCUGAGAAGCACAGAUAUAAGGGAGACAUUAGACCUGCACAAUUCUGGAUAAACUCAGAAUGUUCUUCUGUGAUUGUACUUUUCAAAGGUUUAAUAGACUUAGCUGAAUCAUUGACAUUUGGGAAUAAGAAUGGGUGUUUAAAUCAAGACUGCGAUCUUUUAACGAGUAAUCGUGCAGCUUUAGGAGACUUCAAAAAUUUGCAGUUCUGGGAAACACAUAUACAUAUAAUAAAGGACAUCACAACCUGUAGAUGGUGGUGAUCAUCAACAGAAUGAAUGUCCACCACAUCAAGGGCAGAAGAAGGAGACACAGAGAAGGCAAAAAAAAAAAGGCCGGUCUGUCAAAUCCAACUGUAUCCCAUUUUUUCACAAUGAAUUUGACUUUGGAGUCAAUGACCACAAUGUUCUGAAUGGUUGCAAACUGGACUCACCAUCAGCAGAGUGAGACACAAAAAGAGUCAUUCCUGUUCCCGUGCAUUUAAUUCACAUCUGUGCUGCUGUCUGUCUGAUGGCCCCAUCAGGGUUUUUAAGAUCCUGAGGUUUGAUAGCAGAUGGCUUGUUGUGACCAUCAGAAAAACCAUAGUCAAAGCUUGUCAAUCUAUUAUUCAGCUGAUCAAGUGUCAAGAGUUUUUGUUCAAUCAAAGAACUGAGAACAAGCUUGGUUUCAUAACCUCCAACCCCUUCCAAAAUGUCAUGCAUGACUUCUGGAGUAACAUUGUCAGUUACAUGGUAGAACUGCAGUUUAUUGAGUGAACACUCUCUUUUGAUGCCAGUUUGAGUUGGGUUAUUCUGAAGUAGAUCAGAAUGGUAGUUAACCCUGUUGUGCAUUACUGACAGAUCCUCUACUGUCUGUCCUCUCAAAACCUCUUUGUGUACCCGACACCAUCGACACACGGUUUUCCCUGAGAAACGUUGUGUAGCCUAGGAUGCCAUUAAGACCCAGGUUAUCCCCACAAACCUGUGCGACUCCUGCUUUGACGGUGCCCUUGAAAUGUUUUGUCUCAACCUGAAUUCCUUCCAAUUCCAGAUCCUUAAUGUCACACACAACUGGAUCUAAGACAGCAUUUAUACCAUAGGUUUUUACAUCGUCUGUCUUGUAGAAAGAUACUCAGGUCGCAAGCAUUUAAGAGUAAAAUAAACAAAACCUAGCUUGUGAACUGAUGUUUUCGAUCCAAGUGGAUUGACCAUCUCACAGUCAUCAUUGUAAAGCACAAGAGGAUUGGACAACUCUUUGGAAAAGAGUUCAUUUGUUUUAAAGAUUGUGCCAUCUCUAAAAUCUUCAAGAGCAGUGCUUUCUUGAUUUUGCCACUCAAAGAUUUUCUCCAUCGUUCCUGGACUUUCUAAUACCUGCUUCAGUAAAGGCUUUAGAGGAACACGCUGAAAAGUGUCUCGGACUGCCACUUGUCUAACAGUCCCCGUCGAUGGGUCUCUCUGUUGAGUGUAUGAAAAGCCAGGGAGAGGUACUUCCUCUGGCUGCACAAAGCAUCCAGACUGAGUAAAAUACUGCAUUUGCUUGUACUCUGACUGUGUAGGAGCCAUUUUAAUGUAAUUCCUGUUUAUUCCAUUAGGUGUCACUCUGAUGUGGUGGUAUAUUUAGAGCACGGUGUUAAUGAAACGACAGGUGUGUUUGGUGGCUGAGAGGCAAACAGUUUUGACCGUGUUAAGCCAUACAUUGUUUUUACUGCUCAAAUGACUGCUUGCAUGGAUAUGGAUUAUGGACAAAAUGUUUGUCUGCAAGGUAUGAACUUUAUGCUGAAAAACGAGAGCUCACAGGAAAUUGAUUGAAGCAGUGUUUAUUGACUGGAACAAAAUAAAGACACAGUUUGCAUUUCAACAUCUACGUGUAUGGACUUAAUGGGCACGCGUGUUUAACGUGCUUUCUUCUGCCACCGACACCAGCGGCCUAGUGGAAGGCCGUAAUAUUAGUCAAAACUUAGCUUCACAAGUAAGUGAGCAUGUUAGUUUAAGGAUCUGCUGCUAUGAUUGUCGAAUUCGCCGCAAGUAAACUGUGAGCUGGACGUGGACGACACUUUGAAAACGGAGGCUUCGUUGAGUAUGAAUCUCAGCGCAACGUGUAACUUUCAAGGACAUUGGAUUUCGUUGUGGAAACCUGAGGACGAGCUGUGGAUUGUGGAUUAUCCGCGGUUCCUGGUGGAUUCGGUUCGUUGUUCCUGGUGGAUUCAGUUCGUUGUUCCUGGUGGAUUCAUGGUGCGUGGUGGAUUGCUUCGCUGUUCCUGGUGGAGUAGCUCCCGCUGGAAUAUUGCAAACGUGCUGGAUUUAAAGGUAUUGUUGCAACAAAAUGAUUAAUGGCCAGUCAUUCUGUGCGCACACAAAAUUCGCGUAAAUCCAAUGCAUUGGUGGCAAAAGGUUUAAAAACAUUUCUUUCUUUUGUUUGGUAUAAACGUGUGUAAAAUGGAUAAACAGUGUUUUGCUGCGGAGGAAUCCGCUAUAACAGAACAACAGCCUUGUAAUGAAAAUGAGCCUGAAAGGCAAAAGAGGCCAACUAAACUUACAGCAAAGGCUUUGGUGGAAAAACUUGAUUCAUUACAAAAACUGAGAAAAGCAAAACUGAACAAAGCACACAAAUUGAUUGAGACUGUUAAAGGGUUGAUGCAAGAUAACAAAGAAUAUGAGUCUGAGGUACGAAACAUGUAUAUGAAUUUCAAUGAGUUGUGUUUAGAGGCUAAGGAAGCACAUGAAUCAUUGUUAACUGUGUUACCUGACAGUGAAAUUGAAAAACAUGAUAUAUGGUUCAAGGC